AUGUCCCUCACAAGGAGGUUUGAGAGCCUGACGGACAAGAGCGAGCUGGAUGCUCAGCCAGAGCUAUUCAUCCACAAUGUCCCUCACAAGGCCACGACCACACUCACGAAUAUGAACAGUGGUAUUUGUAUGUCCAAGUCAUACCUCGUGAACAACCUUGGUACCAUUGCAAGGUCUGGCACGAGGUAUUUCAUGGAGGCCCUAGCUGUUGUUGUUGCGACCAGCAAGCACAACGACAAUGAGCACUAUGUUUGGGAGUCCCAGACUAGUGGCUUCUUCGCUGUGAUAUGUGAUACUGCUGGAGAGCCCCUAUGGAGGGGUACUAACAUCAACCUCUACCUCAAGGACGAUCAGGUACAGCAAAACAUAAGUCUCGUCCCUAUUUACUUGCUCGUGCUUAAUAUGUUCUGGAUAGACUUGGUAGUUCUUGUGGGUUGUCAUAACUUCAUGAAUUAUGGAUGGCUGAUAAUUAUUCUUCUCUGA
rnacentral:rRNA from 1 species